rnacentral:rRNA from 1 species
CGAACGCUGGCGGCGUGCUUAACACAUGCACGUCGAACGGAAAGGCCCCUUUGGGGGUACUCGAGUGGCGAACGGGUGAGUAACACGUGAGUAACCUGCCCUUGACUUCGGGAUAACUUCAGGAAACUGGGGCUAAUACCGGAUAGGAAUCCUUGCUGCAUGGUGGGGGUUGGAAAGCUUCGGCGGUUUUGGAUGGACUCGCGGCUUAUCAGCUUGUUGGUGGGGUAGUGGCUUACCAAGGCUUUGACGGGUAGCCGGCCUGAGAGGGCGACCGGCCACAUUGGGACUGAGAUACGGCCCAGACUCCUACGGGAGGCAGCAGUGGGGAAUAUUGCACAAUGGGCGGAAGCCUGAUGCAGCAACGCCGCAUGCGGGAUGACGGCCUUCGGGUUGUAAACCGCUUUCAGCAGGGGCGAAGCUUGUGGUGACGGUACCUGCAGAAGAAGCACCGGCUAACUACGUG